rnacentral:tRNA from 1 species
GACAUUUUAACUAUCCAAGUAUAUAUUUUGAAAAUAUAAAAAAGGUUUUUAGGCCUAAAUGUCU